rnacentral:tRNA from 1 species
GUUUUAAUAAUUUAAUAAAAAUAUUGAUUUUGUAAAUCAAAAAUAUGAAAUUCAUUUAAAACU